AAAGUACGGCCGGUUCGCAUGCGGGCGGUCGCUCGUGUCGGCGCGGGAACGCAAAAUAAUGGCGGGAAGACGGUAGCAGAGAACGAGGAAGAAACGGGCGACGACUGAGCAAACGACCAAUGGCACGGAUGGACGGACGUAUUUAAGAAGAAAGUAAGGGGGGGGGGAACCCAGGCAAAGAAGGAAAGAAAGAAAGAUGGA